rnacentral:rRNA from 1 species
GACAGAGGGUGCGAACGUUGUUCGGAAUUACUGGGCGUAAAGCGCGUGUAGGCGGCUCAGAAAGUCGGGUGUGAAAGCCCUGGGCUUAACCCAGGAAGUGCACUCGAAACUUCUGAGCUUGAGUCCUGGAGAGGAAAGCGGAAUUCUCGGUGUAGAGGUGAAAUUCGUAGAUAUCGAGAGGAACACCGGUGGCGAAGGCGGCUUUCUGGACAGUGACUGACGCUGAGACGCGAAAGCGUGGGGAGCAAACAGG